GUCUUAAAGUAAUAAUUUUAAGUCUAAUCUGCCCACUGAAUUAAAUUUAAAGGGCCGCAGUAUAAUUGUGCAAAGGUAGCAUAAUAAUUAGUCUUUUAAUUGAAGACUUGAAUGAAUGAUUGGACGAAAUAUAAGCUGUUUCAUAUUUAUAUAUAAAAUUUAUUUUUUUAGUGAAAAAACUAAAAUUUAUUAAAAAGACGAGAAGACCCUAUAGAUCUUAAUAAGUUUAUUUAUAUAAUAAAUUUUAUUAAUUUAUAGUAUAUAUAUAAAUUUAUUUAAUUGGGGUGAUUUUAAAAUUAAAUUAACUUUUAUUAAAAAUUACAAUAAUUAUUGAAUAAUUUAUUAUAAUCUAUUUUUAUAAAAAAAGAUAAAGAUACCUUAGGGAUAACAGCGUAAUUUUAAUUUUAAGUUCUUAUUAAAAUUAAGUAUUGCGACCUCGAUGUUGGAUUAAAAUUUAUUUUAAAUGCAGGUGUUUAAUAAUUAGGUCUGUUCGACCUUUAAAAUUUUU
rnacentral:rRNA from 1 species